UUGCUUGGCCAAAAAGUUUGUUUGGCUUUUUCUGUAAGAUGUUACCCGAACAAACUUUUUGGCGAACCCA
ensembl:miRNA